UAGCGAAAGCUAGUUGUGUUUAACUUAGCUAAAACUAAGUAGGUGCAAUAUUGACUAUGUCAAAUAAAGUUCUAGGUAGAAUUAUGAUAAUGACAUUGUCUAUCUAUGUGUCUUGACCAAAUUACGUGCCAGCAGUCGCGGUAACACGUAAAAGACUAGUGUUACUCAUCUUAAAUAGGUUUAAAGGGUACCUAGACGGCCAAUCAAGCCUCAAAAGGGUACUAAUAGGCUAGAGUUUAAUAUAAGGAGGCAUGAAAGUACUGAGAAUGUAGAGAGAUGAAAUUCUGUGAUACUAUAUAUGGCACUGGUAGAGGCGAAAGCAUCUUAUUAUGUAAAAACUGACGUUGAGGGACGAAGGCUGUGUGUAGCAAAAAGGAUUAGAUACCCAAGUAGUCUCAGCAGAAAAUGAUGAAUGUUAUAGGAUAGAUAAAUUUUGUACUAUAAAUGAAAGUGUAAGCAUUCCACCUUAAGAGUAAUUUGGCAACAUUGGAACUGAAAUCAUUAGACCGUUUCUGAAACAAGUAGUGAAGUAUGUUGUUUAAUUUGAUGAUCCGCAAAAAACCUUACCACAAUUUGAAUAUAAAGAAUUUUAUACAAGCGCUGCACGGUUGUCUUCAGUUAAUGUCGUGAGAUUCUGGUUAGUUCCAUUAAAUUAACGUAAACCCUUACUUUAUUUUUUU
rnacentral:rRNA from 1 species